rnacentral:rRNA from 1 species
UACGAAGGGGGCUAGCGUUGUUCGGAAUUACUGGGCGUAAAGCGCACGUAGGCGGGUUGUUAAGUCAGGGGUGAAAUCCUGGAACUCAACUCCAGAACUGCCUUUGAUACUGGCAACCUAGAGACUGGAAGAGGUUAGUGGAAUUCCCAGUGUAGAGGUGAAAUUCGUAGAUAUUGGGAAGAACACCAGUGGCGAAGGCGGCUAACUGGUCCAGCACUGACGCUGAGGUGCGAAAGCGUGGGGAGCAAACAGG